AGUUUCACCAUAUUGGCCACGCUGGUCUCGAACUCCUGACCUUGGGAUCCGCCUGCCUCGACCUCCCGAAGUGCUGGGAUUUCAGGCAUGAGCCACCUUGCCCGGCCACCAUGUAGUAAAAUAUUAACGUCUUAUACUAACUGCCGACUUGCAGGAGUCAGUCCUCAGGCCCAGCUGCCUAAGUGCUCUGCCUUCUGCCGGACAGAGUUUGUUCUAAGGAGCCACGUCCAGGCCUCCACUCGCAUUCUGUCCUGGGCCUUGUCUCCCUGCAACACAGGAUGGCCUGGCUUCUGCGUCUGGCUCUGCCAUGGGGACACCAUGGUCUGAAGCUCCCCUCACCGGCUGGAGUUCAGUGCCAUCGAGAUCCUACUUGCUCCCUCACCCACGGCUGAUGCAUGGAGCACCAGGCUCUGAAUUCUGCCUCCUCCAUCUUCUGGUCCCCUGGGAUUCUCACUGCAGCCCUGGACAUGAACGGAGGGACAGGCCUUGGGAAAAAGUGGUGCAGGACCCGGGUCAGGGCAGCCUGCCUGUUCCAUCCGAGUGCUCUGAUUCCAUGCUGGGAGGAGGCGUUGUUGCUGGUCCACCACCUGCUCUUACUCAGUGGGUCUGACAGGGCCCUGCUGGUGGUGCACAGUUCUGCCGCAGGCUCACAUGGUGUUCCCUGUCCAUCUUUGGCAACAGAAUAGAAAAGACUGCAUUUGCCAGAUCAGUGUCCACACCUCCCAGGCUCCAGGUCGGCUUGAUCUCCACCCGGCGGUCAGCGAUCAGCUGCCACUGGGCUACACUGGGUUGGUCUGCACCAAUCCCCUCCACCCGCCGGGGGCCGUGGGUCCUGUGGGGCUAGACUGCUAAGGAAAGGGAGGACAACCGGGGACCAGGGCCCUGCACCCACCAGGCUCCGAGGGUGCCACUUACUUCUGUCCCUUCCCAGGGCCCAUGAUCCAAGUGCACGGCCACAAGCUCCUCGGGAAGGACUGAGGGAUGUGAGGAUCCUGGGGUCUCCAGCCUCACUGAUUGGAUGGGCCGGGGCGGAAGACUCGCUGGUGUCUGGAGGGACCAGGUCCUGAGUGGUGAUGGAGGUGUCACCUGUGGCCUGCUCUGCCGCGGACUCCUGGGCUGGUGGGAGCUGGGGAGCAGCCCUGUCGGCCUCCUCUUCUUUCCCUGUGGGGACAGCAUCUUUCCAGACAUCUGGAGGACUCUGCUGGCAAAUAUUGUGGGGGCUGCUCUCACUUGCGUUAGGAGGGAACUACUCUCCACCUGGGAUCUUUUCAUCUCUGAGCCAUCAGGCCCCUCUUCCGAAGGAGUGCCCCAGGAGCUGCACAUGAGCACGCGCCCGUCCGUAAGAGCUGCACAGAGGCCGGAAGGGGCACGGCAGGGACUGGCCACUCUGCUCAGUCUCAGAACCACACUCUGGACCCUCAACAGGACCCUCCCCAGUGCUGGGAUUACAGGUGUGAGCCACCACGCCCGGAUCUUGACAAAAUUUCUUCAGCAGCUGCUUGAGUGUCUGGUUCAUGCCUCCACUUUGCCUGAGCUCUGCAGCCUGCAAGCGUCUGUGCCUUCAGUCUCUUGCCUCGACCCCCGCGUAAUCCUCCACCCACAUUCCCGGCACUGACGCGAUGAGGAGCAAGGCAGCUGUGUUUAGGGUAUUCACAGUCUCUAAAGUCAGUUGAUCGGCUUCCUGCACCAGUAGGGCAGCGGCAGCUACUGUUUAAAACAAGGAGGUCAUCCAAGUGCCACAGAAUCUAAUAACCUGGCACCAGAAACACCUGCACUUCAUUGAAUGCCACUGUGGAAAAGUGUGUGAGGAUAAAGGGCUGAUACAGGACUCGGCUCCGGGGGCAGGACCAGCAGUGGAUGGCGAGUACCUGGGCGCUACUACUGGCCUUGGAGAUUCUUUGUCAUCUGAGAAAUUGCUUGGAAUAUUAUCACAGAACUACUGGUGAAAGGAUGGUUUCCGGGAAGCUGAUGUUUUUGGUGGUGAAGAAGGCUUGGGAAGUGUGGUUCCUGCUCUCUUACAUGACCAUUUGUGGAGUGACGUCUGGAUGCUGGGGUACUGUCUCUGACAGGUCUUCGCUGUCUUCUUAGGAUCCUUGACCCGCUGGACUCAGGGGUUCUGCUUUCUUAGAAGUUUGUUUCCUGCUUGUGUGAGGUCUGAGGAGGGGGGUAACAAAUUUCUGAACGUGAAGUUAUACAUUCAGGGCAGGCGGAUGCACUGUCGGAUUAGGAGCCUUCUCUCCAGGACCCCAGCAGGACAGCGUCAUGUGACUCCAGCUUCCUCUUGUAGGGGUGUCAGAGGCCCCUGUGAACUUUACUAGACCUGGGAGUCUCCUCACCUUACGCCAGCAGUUGCAGGACCUCACUGUAUUGGUUCAGUGUCCCUGCCAGGCCCCCGAUGGGCCUCCACACUCUAGGCCCCACAGGGGGCCCCUCAAGCCCUCACCUCUCUUGUCACAGGCCUCCUCUGCUGGAAUCUUCCCUUUCUUGGGGCUACAGUUCUGCUCCAUGUGGGUUCAGAGGCCCAAGCCUCCCUGUGUCUCCUGCUGCAGGUCAGAGACCCAGUGGCCAUUGCUGCCUGCCCUAAGCAGCCCUCCAGGCCCAGGACCGGGGACUGUGGGGAGCACUGACUGAAGAGGAGGCUGUCUUGGGAUACAGGGAGGAUUCCAGGACCUGUGGAGGCAGCUUCGGUGCUCAGGGCUGACAUGCGCGACCCCCUCCUUCCUCCUUCCGGGGCCCCUUUGCUUUAUAAAACACCACAGAGGUUGAGGGGACAUGAGGGGCGGGGGGUUCCUGGACUCAGGGCCACACCCCAUGGGGCCAGGGCAGGGCUCUAGGGCCCCAUUGGCCAAGAGCUUACUGAGAUUACAACACUUUCCUCCUCCUGCCUCAGCGCCCCGUGGACAGGAGUGCAGUCUGAGCAGAGCAAGGUGAGGUCACUGGGUCAGCGGCUCCUGUGGCAUCUGGCCAAGGACAACGUGCUGAAAAGUUUCCCUUGAAAAAAUCAGAAACCAAACUCACCUCAGAAGAGGCCCCCACACCCUCCAGGAGGAAGUGGGAGUCACGUGAGGCCUGUCUUGAUUGGGGUUCCUGGAGAGGAGCCCCCCCUCCAGCUCUCCCUAGGUGGGGGCUCCUGUUUCCCCUGCUCUGCUCUCUGAAGUGCCCAGGGUCCGUCCCCUCCCCACCCUAUCCUGGAUCCUGUCGUCUUGUCAAGGCCACCAGAGACCUGCUCCCUGUGCCAUCUCAGACCGGACUCUGGGGUUGCCUGCGCCUCCUCCGCUCCUGCACCUCUGUGCAGCCUCCGGCCUGGCUGCUACACUCUGGGGAGCUCCCUGUGGCCACCCUUGGAAAGUGGCCAGUUCCAUUCUCAAACUGCUGCGAGUACAAAGCUCAUGCUGGAUUUUGAAGAUUUGGCUGAAGUGCAGUGGCACCAUCACAGAUCACUGCAGCCUCCACCUCCUGGGCUCAAGCCAUCCUCCUGCCUCAGCCUCCCGAGUAGCUAGAACUCCCAAGUAACACACCAGCAUGCCCAGCUAAUGCUUAAAUUGGAGUUUUAAUUCACAGAGAAAUAAAGAUUAUUUGUAUCGGGAGAACCCACUCCCGAUGGUUACAUGGGUUCUUUUCUAUUUCCUAGGUGUCUCGGCUGGUUUGAGAAAUAAAGGGAAAGAGCACAAGAGAGAGAAAUUUAAAGCUGGGUGUCCAGG